rnacentral:rRNA from 1 species
UACGUAGGUGGCAAGCGUUGUCCGGAUUUACUGGGCGUAAAGAGCGCGCAGGCGGUCGUUCAAGUCGCGUGUGAAAGCCCCCGGCUCAACUGGGGAGGGUCACGCGAUACUGGUCGACUCGAAGGCAGGAGAGGGUAGUGGAAUUCCAGGUGUAGCGGUGAAAUGCGUAGAUAUCUGGAGGAACACCGGUGGCGAAGGCGACAUCCUGGACCGGCAUUGACGCUGAGGCGCGAAAGCCAGGGGAGCAAACGGG